UGGAUUGCAAACUAUGGAGAAUGUUAUGAGCUGUCAAAGGAGGAAUCCAGAUGUUUCUCAUAUUGUGAAUACAAAGGCUGGUUCCCAUAAAGUGGCAAAAGAAUGUAAUGAGAUACAGAUAACAAAAAAAGAACCCGGGAACGAUGAAAAAGAUGGAACCGAACACAUGCAUGGUAAACAGAUAGCACAUCAGAGGCAACACACGGGUUUGCAAGGAACUAAUGCUACCAACACAAAACGUGC
rnacentral:lncRNA from 1 species